rnacentral:rRNA from 1 species
UAGGGAAUCUUCCACAAUGGACGAAAGUCUGAUGGAGCAACGCCGCGUGAGUGAAGAAGGGUUUCGGCUCGUAAAACUCUGUUGUUAAAGAAGAACAUAUCUGAGAGUAACUGUUCAGGUAUUUGACGGUAUUUAACCAGAAAGCCACGGCUAACUACGCGCCAG